AUACGGAGGGUUCAAGCGUUAUCCGGAUUUAUUGGGUUUAAAGGGUCCGUAGGCGGGCUAAUAAGUCAGUGGUGAAAUCCUAUCGCUUAACGAUAGAACUGCCAUUGAAACUGUUAGUCUUGAAUUAUUUUGAAGUUGGCGGAAUGAGUAGUGUAGCGGUGAAAUGCAUAGAUAUUGCUCAGAACACCGAUUGCGAAGGCAGCUGACUAAGAAUAUAUUGACGCUGAUGGACGAAAGCGUAGGUAGCGAACAGGAUUAGAAACCCCGGUAGUCC
rnacentral:rRNA from 1 species